rnacentral:rRNA from 1 species
GGAUAAUCUACCCUUAGGACUGGGAUAACCCUGGGAAACUAGGGCUAAUACCGGAUAGGCAAUUUUUCCUGCAAUGGUUUUUUGUUUAAAUGUUUUUUCGCCUAAGGAUGAGUCUGCGGCCGAUUAGGUAGUUGGUUAGGUAAUGGCUUACCAAGCCGUUGAUCGGUACGGGUUGUGAGAGCAAGAGCCCGGAGAUGGAACCUGAGACAAGGUUCCAGGCCCUACGGGGUGCAGCAGGCGCGAAACCUCCGCAAUGUGAGAAAUCGCGACGGGGGGAUCCCAAGUGCCAUUCUUAACGGGAUGGCUUUUCAUUAGUGUAAAGAGCUUUUGGAAUAAGAGCUGGGCAAGACCGGUGCCAGCCGCCGCGGUAACACCGGCAGCUCUAGUGGUAACAAUUUUUAUUGGGCCUAAAGCGUCCGUAGCCGGUUUAAUAAGUCUCUGGUGAAAUCCUGUAGCUUAACUGUGGGAAUUGCUGGAGAUACUAUUAGACUUGAGACCGGGAGAGGUUAGAGGUACUCCCAGGGUAGAGGUGAAAUUCUGUAAUCCUGGGAGGACCGCCUGUUGCGAAGGCGUCUAACUGGAACGGUUCUGACGGUGAGGGACGAAAGUUAGGGGCGCGAACCGGAUUAGAUACCCGGGUAGUCCUAACUGUAAACGAUGCGGACUUGGUGUUGGGGUGGCUUUGAGCUGCUCCAGUGCCGAAAGGGAAGCUGUUAAGUCCGCCGCCUGGGAAG